rnacentral:lncRNA from 1 species
GGUGGUGGCCGGGGAGGAUUUCCCAGUGGAGGUGGUGGAGGUGGAGGACAGCAACGAGCUGGGGACUGGAAGUGUCCUAAUCCUACAUGUGAGAACAUGAACUUCUCUUGGAGAAGUGAAUGCAACCAGUGUAAGGCACCUAAGCCAGAUGGCCCAGGAGGGGGACCAGGAGGCUCUCAUAUGGGGGGAAACUACGGAGAUGAUCGGCGUGGCAGAGGAGGAUAUGAUCGGGGCGGCUACCGGGGCCGAGGAGGGGACCGAGGGGGCUUCAGAGGGGGCCGGGGUGGUGGGGACAGAGGUGGUUUUGGCCCUGGCAAGAUGGACUCCAGGUGAGUAAGUCAAAACAAAAGUCAAGAAAAUUGGUCAGAGAUGAUGAGGAAGUAAGGAUUCUCUGGGAAAGGACAGCCUAGCUGGUUCCAUUUUUGGGAAGGAAGAGGAAGAAUUCAGAACCCAGUCUUAAGACUAUUUUGCUUUAAAGUCAUUUGUUGGGUAGCAUGGGCAAGUAGGGUAUUUGAAGGAUAUGCAUGGGCAGUUUGGUAACUCUUAAUCUAACAAAUAAUUUUUUCUUUCAGGGGUGAGCACAGACAGGAUCGCAGGGAGAGGCCAUAUUAGCCUGACUCCUGAAGUUCUGGAACAGCUCUUCCUGUACCCAGUGUUACCCUUGUUAUUUUGUAAACUUACAAUUCAGGAUUGCUCAUGGAUAUUUUUUGGGGGGGUGGGCAACGGUAUGUGUGUGUGUGUGAGUGUGUCAGACUACCGUAAUUGUAACCAUAUCUCUGGUUCCCAUUAAAAACCAUUUUAGUUAAA